GUCGGGGUGGCGGAAUUGGUAGACGCGCACGCUUGAGGGGCGUGUGGAGCAAUCCGUGGGGGUUCAAGUCCCCCCCUCGACACCA
rnacentral:tRNA from 1 species